rnacentral:rRNA from 1 species
UUUAAUGAGAGUUUGAUCCUGGCUCAGGACGAACGCUGGCGGCGUGCCUAAUACAUGCAAGUAGAACGCUGAGGUUUGGUGUUUACACUAGACUGAUGAGUUGCGAACGGGUGAGUAACGCGUAGGUAACCUGCCUCAUAGCGGGGGAUAACUAUUGGAAACGAUAGCUAAUACCGCAUAAGAGUAAUUAACACAUGUUAGUUAUUUAAAAGGAGCAAUUGCUUCACUGUGAGAUGGACCUGCGUUGUAUUAGCUAGUUGGUGAGGUAAAGGCUCACCAA